rnacentral:rRNA from 2 species
GAUUUCUGGUAUGGCGCACUUGGCCCGCCAAGGUUACUUGGUUGUGUGCCGGUGUGCGCCUGCCAUCCUUCUGGGGAACGGCUCUACCCUUCACUGGGUGGGAGUCGGUAUCCAGAUCUUUUACUUUGAAAAAAUUAGAGUGUUUAAAGCAGGCUUUUUGCUAUGAAUACAUUAGCAUGGAAUAAUAAUUUAGGACUUUGGCCCUAUUUUGUUGGUUUCUAGGACUGAAGUAAUGAUUGAUAGGGAUAGUUGGGGGUGCUCGAAUUCAGCGGCCAGAGGUGAAAUUCUUGGAUUCGCUGAAGACGAACUCAUGCGAAAGCAUU